GCGUUGGUGGUAUAGUGGUUAGCAAGGCUGCCUUCCAAGCAGUUGACUGGAGUUCGAUUACUGGCCAAUGCA
rnacentral:tRNA from 1 species